CCUUUUUGGGGUGUCCCCAUUUUGGGUUUUCCCCAGCCCCUUCAUACCCCAAGGCUCAUCCCCACACUUUUGGGGUUUCCCCAGUCUCUUGGGGAAAAACCCCCAAUUUUUGGGUGGUGAGGUCCCCAAAUUUUCGGGGAAAAGUCCCCACAUUUUUGGGGUAACAUCCCCCAAUUUUCAGGGAGAAGUCCCAAAAUUCUUAGGGAGAAGUCUCCAAAUUUUCAGGGAGAAUCCCCCAAAUUCUCAGGGUGGGGUCCCCAAAUUUUCAGGGAAAAGUCCCCAAAUUUUCAGGGAGAAGCCCCCAGAUUCUCAGGGAGAAGUCCCCAAAUUUUCGAGGGAGAAGCCCCCAAUUUUUUGGGGUGAGGUCCCCAAAUUUUCAGGGAGGGAUCCCCAAAUUUUCUGGGUGGAAUCCCCAAAUUUUCGGGGUGCGAUCCCCAAAUUUUCGAGGGGGGGUCCCCAAUUUUUCAGGGAGAAAUCCCCAGAUUUUCAGGGAGAAGCCCCCACAUUUUCAGGGAAAAGUCCCCAGUUCUUCAGGGAAAAGCCCCCAAAUUUUCAGGGAGAAGCUCCCAAAUUUUCAGUGUGGGACUCCCAAAUUUUCGGGGUGGGAUCCCCAAAUUUUCGGGGAAAAGUCCUCACAUUUUUGGGGAGAAGUCCCCAAAUUUUCAAGGAGAAGUCCCCAAAUUUUCAGGGAAAAAUCCCCAAUUCUUCAGGAAAAAGUCCCCAAAUUUUCAGGGUGAGGUCCCCAAAUUUUCGGGGUGGGAUCCCCAGAUUUUUGGGGUGUCCCCCCCCCGUUUUAGGGCUGCAUGCGCAGGGCCCCGUCCAGCCUCACCACCUCCCCGUUGAUCAUCGGGUUUUCGGCCAGCGCCUGCACCAGGUGGGCGAAUUCCCCCGGGUGCCCCAAACGGGACGGGAAGGGCACCUGCUGCCCCAAAAAGUUCCGAACCCGUUCGGGCAAACCGGCCAGCAACGGGGUGGAGAACAACCCUAAAAGGGACAAAAAAAAGGGGGUGAGUCGGUUACCCUAUACCCUUUUCCACCCUAAAAAUAAAGGGGGUGAAGCGUUUGCCCUAUAACUUUUC
rnacentral:lncRNA from 1 species